GUAACGAACACGAAGGCGGGCAGAAUAUAGACUUAGUGGGGCGGGAUAUCGUUUUAUUAUUAUAUAGUGAAAACGUACUGCGUAGUUUGCCGUUUUGUUGUGACCGUCGUUUCGUAUCAGUGUCUGUGUGUGUGUGUGCAAAUGUUUGCGGCGCGAGCGAACUUUUACGAAUAAGCAUUCAAACGCCGGCAAAUAUUUUGCAGGCCGUAUGACGAAAGCGAAUGAGGGAAUGACGGGGGCGACGAUAGAUAAGCAGUGGCAGCUAACCAACCACUUGCCCUCAAUUGUUUUGUGUCUGCGUUGUUAUUGUUCUUGUUUAGCGAUGUUCUUUAUAUAAAUGUGUAAGUAUGUAAUCUGUAUGCGUUGCUAGUGUUACGCAGCCGGACGAGAUGGGAUGUCAAAAUACACGUAUACACAGAUAAACACAGGACAAUAAAAUUAUAGAAAAGGGACACAAUCACAUGUUUGGGCUGCUUAGCGCGUGUGCUCGUGUGUGUGUGUGUGCGUGUUUGUGUGUACACGCGCAAAAGAAAAUGUGGAAAAAUUAUUACAGUUACGUGACCAAGGGGAGCACAUACAAAACCGGUCCCAAAUAAACCAAGCAGACGUAAACCAAUCACACGCCCUCCGAACAGGAUUUGUAAAGAGAAUUGCACAGGCGCCGUUGCCAUUGUAAGAUGAAGUUGACAAUACGAAUGAACUUGAACGUAGGAAGGAAAGUCAAUGACCACUGGGCAGCAUUUACCGCAAUCACAAUUUAUUAA